GACGAACGCUGGCGGCGUGCUUAACACAUGCAAGUCGAACGGACAGGCCCUGCUUUUGUGGGGUGCUCGAUUGGCGAACGGGUGAGUAACACGUGUGUAACCUGCCCUUGAAUUUGGGAUAUCUUCAGGAAACUGGGGCUAAUACCCGAUAGGAGCUCCUGCUGCGUGGUGGGGGUUGGAAAGAUUCGGCGGUUGGGGCUGGACUCGCGGCUUAUCCGCUUGUUGGUGGGGUAGUGGCUUACCAAGGCUUUGACGGGUAGCCGGCCUGAGAGGGUGACCGGCCACAUGGGGACUGAGAUACGGCCCAGACUCCUACGGGAGGCAGCAGUGGGGAAUAUUGCACAAUGGGCGGAAGCCUGAUGCAGCAACGCCGCGUGCGGGAUGACGGCCUUCGGGUUGUAAACCGCUUUCGCCUGUGACGAAGCGUGAGUGACGGUAAUGGGUAAAGAAGCACCGGCUAACUACGUG
rnacentral:rRNA from 1 species